rnacentral:rRNA from 1 species
ACGGGUGCGUAACGCGUAUGCAACCUACCUAUCACUGGGGGAUAGCCUUUGGAAACAGGGAUUAAUACCGCAUAAUACUGGGAUUUAGCAUUAGAUUUCAGUUAAAGAUUUAUUGGUGAUAGAUGGGCAUGCGUCUGAUUAGUUAGAUGGUGAGGUAACGGCUCACCAUGACGAUGAUCAGUAGGGGGCGUCAGAGCGUGGUCCCCCACACUGGCACUGAGAUACGGGCCAGACUCCUACGGGAGGCAGCAGUAGGGAAUAUUGGGCAAUGGAUGCAAGUCUGACCCAGCCAUGCCGCGCGCAGGAAGAAGGUCCUCUGGAUUGUAAACUGCUUUUGUCGGGGAAGAAUAGGUCUCUUGCGAGGGAUUGUGACGGUACCCGAUGAAUAAGCCACGGCUAACUACGUGCCAGCAGCCGCGGUAAUACGUAGGUGGCAAGCGUUGUCCGGAUUUAUUGGGUUUAAAGGGUGCGUAGGUGGUUUGCUAAGUCAGUGGUGAAAGCUGGUUGCUCAACAAUCAAGUUGCCAUUGAUACUGUCAGACUUGAGAGAAGUGGAGGCUCGUGGAAUGGAUGGUGUAGCGGUGAGAUGCAUAGAUAUCAUCCAGAACGUCGAUUGCGAAGGCAGUGGGCUGUACUUUUUCUGACACUGAGGCACGAAAGCGUGGGGAUCAAACAGGAUUAGAUACCCUGGUAGUCCACGC